rnacentral:misc_RNA from 1 species
AACAAGGCGUACCUGCGGACCUGCGGAAGGAUCAUUACCGAGUGUGGUCCCAUAAGGGGCGCCUCCCGUCCUUUGCAGGGCCUUUAGGGGCUUUUUGACUUUGCUUCGGCGGGCUUGUCCCGCCGGAACACCCUCAAGAAAAUCUUUAUGAACCGUUCGUCUGAGUUUGCUUGCGAAUAAAACAAAACUUUUAACAACGGAUCU